rnacentral:lncRNA from 1 species
CUCAUGUAAACAAGCCAUCGGCAGUGACAAGUACCAGUUUCCAUGGCCCAUCAGACUAAACUGUUCACAGUGGCGGCCCAUCUUCUGAAAGAACAGAAAAGACACUGCAACGUCAAGAAAAAAAUGACUGCCGCUAUUCCCUGAGCGAUAACAGCCGCUCUUGAAAUGCAGGACAUGUUUCAUUUGGCUUAUAAUAAUUGUGUACUGUCUUUUAACCCUCAAAGUGUUAAGCAUUGUCAUAUCCUCUGGGGAUGAAAAGAUCUGGGGUUAACAACUUUCUCUUUUAAAAAUUCAUAAAGGUGCAAAUAAACAGCAUUGCAUCCAGUGGCUAUGCAUUGCAAGAAGCCAAGGGAGAAAGAGGAAAAAAAAAGACCACAACAACAACAUUACCCCCCACAGGAUACUUGGCAAUUAACUGCAGCUAUGUCAGCAAUUUUUUGAAAAAUUUCCUAAACAUGGAGAAGACUCAUCCUCACCAUAUGAAAAACAAAGCUACUGCAGUGACUCUCCCAUGCAUUACAAUGUGUGUGUCUUACUUCUUAACCAAGCCGCUAAUCACGCAAAUUAUUGCAACUAAUUACAUUUGAAGGUCUAAUUAAUUCUUUCAGUACCACAUCAUUUAGUACGCAUUCACAACACAGCACCUGUUUUGAAAAUCCUUGCAGUUAAUUUGUUUAUAAACAAACACUAUUUGCAUAAAAUGUUUAAUGAAUGGUUUAACAGUUAGUACAAUACUCCAGUUUUGUCUUCGUAGAUCUGAGGUCAUCAAAGGCCACGAUAAAUUAAUUUUAAACUAUACAAAUUAAUUUAAAUAGAAUGUGUGAAUUUCUCAUUAAUAAAGAAAACAUUUUCAACAUGUUAAUUAAUAUCUCUGUAACAGGCUAAUUGCUUCCUGCACAACAAGUACAUCUUACAAGCAAACCUUAAAGAUUUGGGGGGCAAAGGGGUGGGGACUAUUUUAAAACUGCAAAACAAAAAGUGCAAUUCAGAAAAAACACACACAGCCCGAUUAUACUGGAGAAUUCACCACUUAGGACAGGCAAACCAAGAAAGGAAGCUGUUGCCUUAUGUUACAAAUACAACACAUUUUAGUCAUCGAGAACGGGACGGUUGAAAAACAUUUCUAUCACAGGUGCAGUUACGCUGCAAAGAUGGUUAGAUGAUGUCUGCCUUCUGGUAGAAAGACAGAAUUAAUGAAAAUAUUAGUUCUGAGAGUGAAGAUCUCUCCUUUGAAUGUAGGGCAUAUUAGCUGUGUUUGUAACCCAAUGGUAAAUACGGAUUUCAUUAAACAAAUCUGCAUCUUCACACCAGUGUCUGAGGCUCAGCCAUCAUAAUUCUCCCUGUGGCAAACCAUGGAAAGAUACUUCACGUAGAAACUAAAGAGGAACAACAUUAUAGCCCAACAUCAAGCACAGCCCUUGCAAAAGCCGUCACUGAGAUAUGUUCGCCCUUAAGUUUGUUUCCGAUUUGCAAGCGUUUUCACAUUUGAUAAGCACCUGUUGUAAAUUUACAUCCACGCAGGAAGUAUUCUUAUGCUAGGGAGCUGAGAAUUGUAAAGCAUGUUUAUACUCUUACCCUUUUGUGGUGUUGCCCCUUAAUGCACAGGCUGAUAAAAUGACUAGCUACACAGGACCCAGAGGGAUGUGCCGCUCCACCUGGUUCCCGCCGCAUCUUCCCCCGAGGAGCCACUAGUCCCUUCCUCCUGGAACAGAUAAAUGCCAGCCAGCAUCCCUGUCUCUGGGGCCCUGGAGAGGCCUUCAACACACCUGGCCUCACUGCCCUGUGGCUUCAACAAAGAGGCCGAGCAUCUCCUAUAAACCUUGAGGUCCAUGGAUGACAUAGCGGAAUGAUGGAUUUCAGAAAAGGCAGGUGCUUCCCACUCUUUAAAUUUUUGUUUAUUCUUUCCAAGUUUCCCAUCAACAGCCCUGCAGUAAAAAUUCAGGGCUUCAGAGACAAAUAUUUCAUGAGUACAGACUGUGAUGAGGAAAAGCAAGCCAUUCCCUCUCUAUCAGGAUCCAGAGGUAAGCUGCUGCUUUGCUCUUAAAACGCAAGAAAAAAAAAGUGAUUAACGGUUGGCACAGGACUCAGGAUUAUACGCCAUUUCCAUGUUGACUUCUUUUUGGAAAAGAUACUCAGGAUAGCCAUGUGAGGAGUUACUCCGGGUUUCGGCCCCAUAGCCAGCUAGAACUGAGGUUCAAGGGGCAGAGGGUGAACUCCCCAGCAGAGACAGAACGGGGCAGGAGGGGGGCAGGAGGAGGGCAGGAGGCGGGUGGCUGUCAGACAAAAUGCUUCCAUCCCAGAACAAGCAGAAACAGGCGCACCACUCUGCAAUAUAAAAGUCAGAAAGCCUUGCAACCUAGAUGCAACCCAGGGACUUCCCCCUUGCAGCCAGCAGCCAAGGCAGCUUCUAGGCACUGUGUGGCUGUAUUUAAACCCAACUUGGUCCCUAACUUCUCUCCAAAGCCGGUCAAGUUGCCCCACCCUAAGCAUCCAGAUGACAGGCUCCUGCCUCCCCUCUUGCACAAAAUCAUUCCCGGAUGUAGAGCCUGGCUUUUUCUCUUUACCCAUUAAAAAUCACCAGCGUUUUGCAAAUAAAGGCGAUCACCAUGUGAAAAAUUAUCUUUUAAAAUGGAGUUUAAUUUGCAUAUAAGGAACGAGAGAUUUAUGACAAGCAACAUCGUCCAGUACUGCAUCUGCCUAGUAUCAGUCGUAAUUUAGAUUGUUUGUGACUGAUCUUAAAUUCUAAAGCUUGGAGAAGAUGAAGUACUCUGUUGCUGUAUUAUUGUCAGGAGUCUAAGACUUACCAGAGAUUUAUUAGUAAUCUUAUCACAAACAUGUCUCAAGUUUUUGCUUUUAAUAUGUGCCAAGCUCCUCUGAGGAAUUUUCCUCACUGCAAUUAUAUUCCUCAAUGCCUGCAUUCUGAAGCUGAGUUGAUUUCCUUCCCAAAAUAAAGCGACCUAUCAUUACACCACAGCCGCUCUUGUACAUUUUUCCUCUGCUACUUAAUAAUCAAUGUAUUCAUCAUUAAAAUCUGAGCCCUGAAGCAAUGGUUUUUAGCAUAUUCUAAUGACUAGCGACUUGCAAAUUACAAUGACCUUUCAUGUACAUUCUGUAAGCACCUUGUUCUAAUGUGUACUGUAUUUAUAGUUUGCCAAUACAAACUAGCCAAAGAUUGGAUAAUUACUGUAAUCUAUUAGCUCGAUUGCUUUCCCUGCUCAUUUAUAGCAUGUGCCACGCAGGCCAUUUUCAAAAACUGGCCUAUCUUUCAUCUCCCGCAAGCUCAGAAAGUAAGGGAUACUUCAUCUUCACAAUAUACACACUUACAAAUGUCUGAAGAACAGCCCGUCUCAGCUCAAGGAGGUUUCAAAAAUAAAGAACCUUCUUUCCUAUUAGUGUCAUAAUGCUAUUUGUGACUGACAAAAAACACCGCUCCGAGAAUGUAAACUUUCAUUGAAGAAUGUCAAGGCCAGUCCCAUUUUCUGCCCAUUACUCUGACCUCCAAAUAGCAUUUAAUAAGAUCUGCUUUGAAAGAAAAAGAUAAAGGCACUUCCCUUAAACAAGAAACAAUUUUUUUUGUUAUAAGUAAAUGUUUCAAGUGAAAUAUUAAACUUUUUCUUUUCUUCUUUUUCUUUUUUUUUUUUUUUUUUAAGCACACUGCUGUUACGACUCCAGAACCGAUAAGGAAGCUAUGUGUGGAAGUAUGAGCUCAGGUCGCCUUCUGACCCUCUGUGACGGUCUAUUUCAGGCAGUUAUGGAUAGAUAACAUUACAGACACUGGUAAUUAAAACAACACUAAUUUUGUCUCUGUGGUCACGCUUUGUUGUUAGAAGCCAUCUAUCAUGGCCUUCACGCAUCACGCAAUGAGAAGACAUUUGUCUACGUACAUUGUGCUUGGUCAACGGUUUUACGGAUUUCCCCGCGUACCUGGACACCCAGGCACUUUUAAAGACGUACUGCCUUCAUUUCUACUCUAUUACUCUGAUUAAUAAAACAUUUUGCAUGCUUCAUCAAAACACCCUGCAAGCUUUUCACCACAUAUAUUCAUGGGGGGGGAAGCAAUGUUAAUUUCUUUCCCUUUUAGAAAGAAACUAACAACAACAACAACAAAAGAAAUUCUCUUUUGGAUUGGAAGAGAGAAAGAAAAAUUCAAAUAUGGAAAUAUUUGUCUUCCCUGUAAAACAGAGUCCAGCCUAAUGAAAAGCAUAAUAUUAAAACACACACACAAUGCCAAGCAUCUCCUUUAAGGCUACACGUAUUUUUGACUAUAUGUAUCGUUAGUUCUUUUCUGUGCAUUCAUUUGCUUGAUUUAUGGACACUCAAUUUCACUUCACCUUUUAUUACAAGAUCUACAGUUACAUUAAGAGUAAUAGCAAGUCAAAUGUUUUUAUAUUUGGGCAAUUAAAAAAAAAGAAAAGAUCUAUUCCUUGGGCCCUUAUAAGAAAUUAGGGAUAGCUGAAAUGCAAGAUGACUAGUUUAGUUCUGUUGUAAUCAACUAAGAAGAAACUGUAAUGGUGCAUUUCAAGGGAUCUUUAACAAGUGACACAAACAAGAGAAGAAGCAGACAGGACCAUUUAACUUCAAACUCCACCGAAGAGAGCUGAAUUGUAAGCUUCCUACAGCAAGCCCGGCUGGCGGCUAUGUGGCAGUCUUCAUUUCUCAGCGGAAAAGCCACUCCCUUGAGACUCUCCAGGCACCCCCCAACCGCAUUUUUUAUCAAGUGUCUAAAAGGUAGGAGCUGUUAGAAUUCUUUUCUCUAUUCACAGAUGAUCACAGCCCUUUUUUCCCCUUUAGCUUGCAGACGCACAUGUAGUUUCAAAUAUUAGCUAGAACUCCAGCCCUCACCAGCCCCUAAUUGCUCUCUCAGGGAAGGUAUCAUAAACUCAGGUAUGGCUGACACAGAUGUAGCUUCAACUUUAUGCAGGCAGGAAUGCUACAUCAAAGCUAUUUGCAAAGUGACAUAGCUAGUUGUUUAAAAGAACAUUUUUAUUAUAUUCCUUGGAAUUUGCAUUCUUCUAGAAACCAAGUGUAUUUUUUAACACGGCCUCAGAAAUGUUGGGGCAAUUGACCAUUCAUGAUGUCUGCAAAGGAAAAGCAUCUAAAUAUUUUUCAAGCGACUUUAAUAAAUUUGAGUGCGUCUGUCACUACAUGUAACCUGAUUAUUUAAAUAAGUUAAUAUUAUCACUUCUCUUUUGCCAGCUGCUGUAAGCAGUCGGCUGCUGUCAUUAAGCAAAAAGGCCAAGACAAUGUGAGUUUAUCUGGUCCUACCUGCAUUUCUACUCAUCGUUGGACUGAAACAAAUGGGAAAGAAAAACUUACUGACUUUUGGCGAACUACAAAGGUUAACUCUAUUCAUCAUGGAGAAACUGAUACUAAGUGCUUUCUGUCUGUCCAUAUAUUCUAAAGAUUUAGAAGGAACCUGGUAGUGUUCCUGGGAGACAGAAGACAGAGUGUUCAUCUUUGCCAUAUGC